rnacentral:rRNA from 2 species
GAUGAACGCUGGCGGCGUGCCUAAUACAUGCAAGUCGAACGAGUUCUCGUUGAUGAUCGGUGCUUGCACCGAGAUUCAACAUGGAACGAGUGGCGGACGGGUGAGUAACACGUGGGUAACCUGCCCUUAAGUGGGGGAUAACAUUUGGAAACAGAUGCUAAUACCGCAUAGAUCCAAGAACCGCAUGGUUCUUGGCUGAAAGAUGGCGUAAGCUAUCGCUUUUGGAUGGACCCGCGGCGUAUUAGCUAGUUGGUGAGGUAAUGGCUCACCAAGGCGAUGAUACGUAGCCGAACUGAGAGGUUGAUCGGCCACAUUGGGACUGAGACACGGCCCAAACUCCUACGGGAGGCAGCAGUAGGGAAUCUUCCACAAUGGACGCAAGUCUGAUGGAGCAACGCCGCGUGAGUGAAGAAGGCUUUCGGGUCGUAAAACUCUGUUGUUGGAGAAGA